GACCGGCGCACGGGUGCGUAACGCGUAUGCAAUCUACCUUUUACAGAGGGAUAGCCCAGAGAAAUUUGGAUUAAUACCUCAUAGUAUGUGAGAAUCGCAUGGUUUUCACAUUAAAGUUCCAACGGUAAAAGAUGAGCAUGCGUCCCAUUAGCUAGAUGGUAAGGUAACGGCUUACCAUGGCAACGAUGGGUAGGGGUCCUGAGAGGGAGAUCCCCCACACUGGUACUGAGACACGGACCAGACUCCUACGGGAGGCAGCAGUGAGGAAUAUUGGACAAUGGGCGCAAGCCUGAUCCAGCCAUGCCGCGUGCAGGAUGACGGUCCUAUGGAUUGUAAACUGCUUUUGUACAGGAAGAAACACUCCCUCGUGAGGGAGCUUGACGGUACUGUAAGAAUAAGGAUCGGCUAACUCCGUGCCAGCAGCCGCGGUAAUACGGAGGAUCCAAGCGUUAUCCGGAAUCAUUGGGUUUAAAGGGUCCGUAGGCGGCUGAAUAAGUCAGCGGUGAAAGACUUCGGCUUAACCGGAGCAGUGCCGUUGAUACUGUUUAGCUUGAGUGUUGGAGGGGUACAUGGAAUUGAUGGUGUAGCGGUGAAAUGCAUAGAUACCAUCAGGAACACCGAUAGCGAAGGCAUUGUACUGGCCAACAACUGACGCUGAGGCACGAAAGUGUGGGGAUCGAACAGGAUUAGAUACCCUGGUAGUCCACACUGUAAACGAUGAUUACUCGCUGUUAUGCUGUAUAGUGUAGCGGCCA
rnacentral:rRNA from 1 species